rnacentral:tRNA from 1 species
GAGGGUAUAGCUCAAGUGGUAGAGCACAUGCUUAGCAUGCACAAAAUCUUGGGUUCAAUCCCCAGUACCUCCU